AGCAGUCGCCGCGGGAAUACAGAGGGUGCGAGCGUUAAUCGGAUUUACUGGGCGUAAAGCGUGCGUAGGCGGCUUUUUAAGUCGGAUGUGAAAUCCCUGAGCUUAACUUAGGAAUUGCAUUCGAUACUGGGAAGCUAGAGUAUGGGAGAGGAUGGUAGAAUUCCAGGUGUAGCGGUGAAAUGCGUAGAGAUCUGGAGGAAUACCGAUGGCGAAGGCAGCCAUCUGGCCUAAUACUGACGCUGAGGUACGAAAGCAUGGGGAGCAAACAGGAUUAGAUACCCCCGUAGUCCCUGUCUCUUAUAU
rnacentral:rRNA from 1 species